UACGGAGGGGGGCUAGCGUUGUUCGGAAUUACUGGGCGUAAAGCGCACGUAGGCGGCUUUGUAAGUUAGAGGUGAAAGCCCGGGGCUCAACUCCGGAAUUGCCUUUAAGACUGCAUCGCUAGAAUUGUGGAGAGGUAAGUGGAAUUCCGAGUGUAGAGGUGAAAUUCGUAGAUAUUCGGAAGAACACCAGUGGCGAAGGCGACUUACUGGACACAUAUUGACGCUGAGGAGCGAAAGCGUGGGGAGCGAACAGG
rnacentral:rRNA from 1 species